GUGCUCGAUUUGGCAGCACAUAUUCUAAAAUUAGACUGAUACAGAGAAGAUUAACAUGGCCCCUGCACAAGAGUGCAUGCCUCAGAACCCAGAGCCAAAAAAAGGAAUG